ACUCGAUUGCGAUGGUUUGCGGCACUCGCUUAUAACGAGUCGGCGUAGAUUACGCUUGCACGAAGGUCCGAUUCCUUCAUCGAGUACCA
rnacentral:tRNA from 1 species